rnacentral:lncRNA from 1 species
CAAAACAUAUUCUUUAAUAACUACUUCAAUAGCUAACAUUAGCCAUAUCAUUUGGACAUGCUCAAAAUGAUUAAGACUCUAUACAUGCCAUAGUUUAAACAUUUUGAAAAGCACAUAAUACCGAGAUGGUUAUGAUAGUGUGAUACGAGCUCCGACGGUCCACUAUUCGAUCAAGUUCAAAUCACUAUAAAACAAAGGAAAGAAAGAGAUGUGUAAGCUAUAAAUAGCUUAGUAAGUUACAUGUAAACAAUAAUUACUCAAUUAAUAAUUAACACUUUUAACAUAUAACUAAUCAAAACAUUUCUUAGCAAUUUCAAUCACUUACACAUACACAAUCUUACCAAUUCACUUGCAUAUACAUUUUCACACUUAACAUUUCAUAUUCACUUUAAUUCAUUAUUAAUCCCGUUGAACACUUGGAAUAUACACGGAUACGUAGAGAUUUAGCACAUAAGUGCCACACUGAUAUGUAGCCGAAGCUACCACUGAUAUGUAGCCGAAGCUACCACUGGAUGUAGCCAAAGCUACCACUGAAAUGUAGCCGAAGCUACCACUGAUCAAUAACACUGGAAAUGUCCACGGGUCUGCUCACACAAGCUGUCAGGUGUCUGCAACACAUGCUAGAUCACCCAGCACCCGGGACUCACUGUAACACUGUAACACUGGUCUCUAGUGACAUGUCACUUGUAUCCAAUUCUAUUCCUAAGUUCAACCGGGAAUUUACACUUAACACUUUAUUUUCAACACUUUAUCACUUGAAUAAUUCAUGAACAACUUUCAUGUUCAACCGGGAAUUUACACUUAACACUUUAUUUUCAACACUUUAUCACUUGAAUAAUUCAUGAACAACUUUCCUUCCACAUUCAAUAUUAAUUCACAUAUCAAAUAUAAUUCACAAUUUAUACAAAUAUAACUAUUAUUUACAUAUAACCUACCUCGGAUGCAAAACGACUAUUUUUGUAAUUUAGUCGAUAACUUUCUCUUUUCCCCGAUCACUUGCACUAUUUCUUCUUUCUUGAUCUAUAUUAACACAAUUUAAUACAUUUUAUCAAUAUUCCAUUCAAAUACAAUUCAUACACAACAUUUUGACACAUUUACAUUUUUCCCCAUAACUUUUCAAAAAUUCCACUUUUGUCCCUAAGCUCGUAAAAAUAAAAUUCUCUAAAUUCUUAAAUUUCAAACUUCACUAAAUCAUAUUUCAUGCUCAUAACGGGCCUCAAUUUCACAAAAUCACAACUUUAUGCACACUUUACCAUCUUUCACAAUUUAGCCCUUUUUCAACAUUUUUCAUUGAAAUUCAUCUAGUAAAACUUGUAAUUAACACUUCAAACAUUCAUUAUCUAACAUCACUAAUCAAUUUACAAUUAUAUCAUGAAUGGGUCAAUUUUUAAACUUUAAUUUCAUUUAAAUUAAAUAGUAGAAACAUGAAAUUCAAGCUUCAAUAAGCAUAAAAAUACGAAAAUAAUUAAAAACGGGGCAAGAAAUCACUUACAAUUGAGCUUAGGAAAAUCAAAACCCUUAACUAUGGUAACCUGAAACUUUCAGCAGCAAGCUUCUGAUUUUUUUGAAGAAGAUGGACACUUAUUUUCUCUUUAUUUUGUCUUUUACCCAAUUUGGACAAAAAUGCCCUUGACCCAUUACUUAGAUAUUUUUCUAGAAAUACCCUUUUGUGUCCAUAACACUAAUUUAUGGUCUAGUUGCCACAUAAACACUUCCAAUUUCAUGCAAUAAUUCAAUUAAGUCAUUUAAUCACUAAUUAGACACACUUUGCAUUUUUCUCAAUUUAGUCCUAAAAAUUCAAUUAAGCACUAAAGCAUUAAAAUUUCCUAUCCAUAUUUUCACACAAUAUUUCAAUCAAUCAGUAAAUAAUAAAAAUUUAUAAAAUUAAACUAUUUCACUUCGGAUUUGUGGUUACGAAACCACUAUUCCGAUUAGGCCCUAUUUCGGGCUAUCACAAUUCUCCCCCCUUAGGGAUUUUCGUCCCCGAAAGUCUUACCAGUGAAUAAGUUGGGAUACUGUUUCCUCAUAGCCUCCUCGGUUUCCCAUGUUGCCUCUUCCACCCCAUGUCGUUGCCAUAACACUUUCACUAAAGCAAUUUCUUUGUUUCUCAACUGUUUCACUUCUCGUGCCAAGAUUCGAAUCGGUUCUUCUUCGUAUGUCAUAUCCGAUCGAAUUUCCACUUCAGUCGGUGAAAUCACAUGUGAUGGGUCCGAUCGAUAUCGCCUCAACAUAGAAACAUGAAACACAUUAUGAAUUCUUUCCAAUUCCGGUGGUAAAGACAAUCGAUAAGCCACUGGACCAAUUCUUUCUAUCACUUCAUACGGACCAAUAAAUCUUGGACUUAAUUUGCCUUUACGGCCAAAUCUCAAAAUUUUCUUCCAUGGAGACACUUUCAAAAAUACUUUAUCUCCUACUUGAAACUCAAUCUCUUUUCUUUUCAAGUCCGCAUACGACUUCUGUCGAUCCGAUGCAGCUUUCAAACAAUCACGGAUUAUCUUCACUUUUUCUUUGGUUUCUUUUACCAAAUCGACUCCAUGUAACUGAUUUUCAUUAAGUUCAGUCCAAUAUAAUGGAGUCCGACACUUUCGUCCAUACAACGCUUCAUAAGGUGCCAUUUUUAUGCUUGGCUGAUAACUAUUAUUAUAAGCAAAUUCCACCAAAGGUAAAUAUCUUUCCCAAUUACCUUCAAAUUCCAAUACACAACAUCUCAACAUGUCUUCGAGUAUUUGAAUUACUCUUUCAGACUGUCCAUCGGUUUGGGGAUGGAAUGCUGUACUAAAAUUCAAUUUAGUACCCAAUGCCUCUUGUAAUUUCUUCCAAAACCUUGAAGUAAAUCAUGGAUCUCUAUCAGAUAUAAUAGACAUAGGUACACCAUGUAAUCGGACUAUCUCAGCAAUAAACAAUUCAGCUAACUUGUCAAGUGAAAAACUCAUUCGCACAGGAAUGAAAUGACCUGACUUAGUCAAUCAAUCAACUAUAACCCAAAUUGAGUCUUUCUUUUUCGGUGACAAUGGCAAUCCAGAAACAAAAUCCAUAGUAAUUCUAUCCCAUUUCCACUCGGGCACCAUAAUAGGUUGAAGUAAUCCUAAAGGUACUUGGUGUUCAGCUUUUACUUGUUGGCACACUAAACACUUUGUCACAUACUCGGAGAUAUCCCGUUUCAUACCCGACCACUAAUAAAAUUUCUUCAAAUCAUUGUACAUUUUUACACUACCGGGGUGAACUGCCAAAUGACUAUCAUGUGCUUCUUGCAAAAUUUUCUGAAUUAAAUCAACAUUUUUCGGAACACAUAUUCUAUCACGAAACAUUAAACAUCCAUCUGAAUCAAUCUGAAAAUCAGAAUUAUUGUCCACUGCACACUGAGUCUUUCUUCUUUGCAAUUCAUUAUCCACUUUCUGAGCCUCACAAAUUUCUUGAAGAAACAAUGGUCUAGCUUUUAACUCAGUGAUCACAUCAGGAGAAGAUGCUUCCUCUCUAGCUCGGAUGGCAUAAGCUCUUGCUG